UGUGUUAUGGUGUAAUGGCACGAGAGUUUUUGGUACUCUAAGAGCUUGUACUAAAAGCUAACACUA
rnacentral:tRNA from 1 species